rnacentral:rRNA from 1 species
GAAACAAGGGCGUAUGGUGGAUGCCUUGGCUUAAGGAGGCGAUGAAGGACGCGAGCUAGCGGCGAUACGCUCCGGGGAGGUGCUAAGCAACUUUUGAUCCGGAGGUCUCCGAAUGGGGAAACCUGUUUCGGUAAAACCGAUUCGUCCAGCCGUAAUUUCAGUUCUUUUAGUUAGUUAUUUUGUAGGAAAAGCGAAUCUGACAAGUCCGUCCGUCUUAACUGGUGAUCCCAGCGAUUGGUGUAAGCCGAUUGUGAUGCCGGCAGUGCGCAAGGGAAGUUCGUAACCGGCAGGUAGUCGUGAGUGCACUCAAAAUCAAAGCCUGCUUCUCCUACAAACACUCCCAAACUAACGGUUUGGGAACUGAAAUUACGGCUGGAAGCGUACCCUGGGAAGUAAAACAUUUCAGUACCAGGAGGAGUAGAAACCAAUAAGUAUUCCGUCAGUAGCGGCGAGCGAACGCGGAGAAGCCCAAACCAGCCUCAUCACAUGGAAUGUGAUUCGGAAUCACCAAAUCACAAUCACCAAAUUCCAAACAAACGACUUUCCUAAGUCGUUCCCGCGUAGGCGGGAAUCCAGAAUAUCUGGUUCCCCGUUUUCACGGGGAUGACAUCAGAAUGUCAAUUGUUUGGUUAUUGGAGAUUGGUUAUUGGAAAUUCCGUAUCGCGUUUCGCGCGAUGCGGCUGGGGUUGUAAGGCAGAAGCGUCGUAUUUAUACGAGGAAAGUUACCAAAUUGUUUGUUAAUGGAAGUUGCUGGAAAGCGACACCCUAGAGGGUGAUAGUCCCGUACAUGAAAACAAACAGUCUUUCUUGCUUCUGUUCUUGAGUACCUCAAGACAUGAAUAGCUUGAGGGAACCCGCCGGAACUAACCGGCAAGGCUAAAUACUUCUUAAGACCGAUAGUGAACUAGUACCGUGA